rnacentral:miRNA from 1 species
AAAGAUGGUGAGUUGCUGAUG